UACGGGGGGAGCAAGCGUUGUUCGGAUUUACUGGGCGUAAAGGGCGCGUAGGCGGCCACUGCAAGUCGGUUGUGAAAUCUCCGGGCUUAACCCGGAAAGGUCAAUCGAUACUGCAGGGCUAGAGUGCAGAAGGGGCAAAUGGAAUUCUCGGUGUAGCGGUGAAAUGCGUAGAUAUCGAGAGGAACACCUGCGGCGAAGGCGGGUUGCUGGGCUGACACUGACGCUGAAGCGCGAAAGCUAGGGGAGCGAACGGG
rnacentral:rRNA from 1 species